rnacentral:rRNA from 1 species
CCCCUAGACGUUCUGGGCUGCACGCGCGCUACAAUAAUACGCACAGCGAGUAUCACCGAGCUCGAAAGGGCAAGGUAAACAAUAGAAAAGGUACUGUAAUGGUUAUAGAUCCUUGUAAUUAUUGAUCUUCAACGAGGAAUUCCUAGUAAGUAUGUGUCAUCAUCACGCACUGAUUACGUCCCUGCCCUUUGUACACACCGCCCGUCGCUCCUACCGAUGAGUCGUCCGGUGAAGUUCGUAGACCUCGUGAUCGCGGAUCACUGGGGGAAGCAAAAUGAACCUCGCGGUUUAGAGGAAGGAGAAGUCGUAACA